GCACAAGCGGUGGAGCAUGUGGUUUAAUUCGACGCAACGCGAAGAACCUUACCUGGGCUCGAAAUGGAGUGGACCGGAGUAGAAAUAUUCCUUCCCCGCAAGGGGCUGCUCUAUAGGUGCUGCAUGGCUGUCGUCAGCUCGUGUCGUGAGAUGUUGGGUUAAGUCCCGCAACGAGCGCAACCCUUAUUACCAGUUGCCAUCAUUAAGUUGGGCACUCAGGUGAGACCGCCUCGGAUAACGGGGAGGAAGGCGGGGAUGACGUCAAGUCCUCAUGGCCUUUAUGUCCAGGGCUACACACGUGCUACAAUGGCCGGUACAAACCGUCGCAAACCCGUGAGGGGGAGCUAAUCGGAAAAAGCCGGCCUCAGUUCGGAUUGGAGUCUGCAACUCGACUCCAUGAAGCUGGAAUCGCUAGUAAUCGUGGAUCAGCAUGCCACGGUGAAUACGUUCCCGGGC
rnacentral:rRNA from 1 species